UGUAGAUGGACACAAUACCUUUAUUUUGUUUAUUUAUUUUUAUGUGGUGCUGAGGAUGGAACCCAGCGCCUCACACAUGCCAGGCAAGCACUCCGCCACUGAGCCCCAGCCCCAGCCCCAGCCUCCUCUCUGUACCAAGUACUGCUAGCGCUCAGACCCAUUUCUAGUCCACCUCUUCUAAGAAAGCGUCCUGAUUCAAUUCAGCGAGCAUUUGAUCUCUGGCCCCCGGCUUCCCGGGAGAGCCACAGUCUGUGCCACCUUCAGCAUCGAACAUGAUUCCAUUAUUCCAGGAGCAGUCCCAUCUGUGGUUGGGAAAGAGCAGCCUCCUGUUGAGUGACAUGGGGAAAGGGGAUCCCUGCGCCCAGCCCCCCUCCGUUUCUUGUUCCCCAGCCAGGCUCGGGGCCCGCUGGGGUUGGCCCACUCUCAUGUCUCCAGCUGCCCCUGUUUUUGGUUUCUCCAGAUCCCAGCUGUGGAGCCACAGAGCCAGCGAGAGUUCAGCCAAGGGCGGCUCAGCGAACUUCAGCGUUACAUGGACAAGUAGCAUUUGGGAAUUAAAAGCAGGGCAGAGCAGAGCCCAAAUCACACCGUGUUGGAAACGAGGGGAAGCAGUUUGCUGGCUUAUUUUUCCCAUCUUGCUUUCAUCUAAAAAAAGAAGCUACUUAGAAAUACAGUCCCCCUCAGGCUGCUAAGCCAGAUGGCCCCUAGAUGCUCAGCCUGCCAAGUGUGUAUAUAUAAUUAUUCAUCUUCAUGGAAUCACACCCAAGUUUGAAUUCAGUCACUGACACUUUUUUUUUUUUUUGCUACUUGAUCUACAGCCAGUGAUACCUUCUGAACUUUUGUUUCUUCUUCUGUAAAAUGCCAUCACUAGUGUCUGCUUUGCCCAUCUCAGGGUGUUUUUGGUGGGAUUGGGUAGACUCAAUGUAAAAUAUAAUAGCACUUUGUAAUCUGCAAAGCACUAGACAAAUCUCCUUUGCUGUUAAUAAGAAAAAGUGCCAUAUUUUGUUUUUGUGGUAAUGUGCUACUACUUAAUGAGCACUUACUCUGUGCCAGAUACUGUGCUAAGUGUUUUACAUGCAUUGUUUCAUUUAAUCCUAACCUCAUCUCCAUUCUGCAAACUAGGUGAGGAUCAGAAAGAUUUGCUGGCCCAGUCACAUCAUGCAGCACAUAGGUGAUG
rnacentral:lncRNA from 1 species